GGUAGGGAAGCCGUUAAGCCCACCGCCUGGGGAGUACGGCCGCAAGGCUGAAACUUAAAGGAAUAGGCGGGGGGGCACACAAGGGGUGGGGUGUGCGGUUUAAUGGGACCUAACACCGGAAACCUUACCGGGAGCGACAGCAGGAUGAUGGUCAGGCUGAAGACCUUACCGGACACGCUGAGAGGAGGUGCAUGGCUGCCGUCAGCUCGUGCCGUGAGGUAUCCUGUUAAGUCAGGAAACGAGCGCGACCCGCACCCGUAGUUACGACGGAGAGGGUUUCCUCUCCGGUACACUACGGGGACUGCCGGGGAAACCCGGAGGAAGGCGCGGGCGACGGCAAGUCCGCAUGCCCCUAAUCUCCCGGGCUACACGCGCGCAACAAUGGGCGGGACAAUGGGAACCGACCCCGAAAGGGGAAGGAAAUCCCAAAAACCCGCUCUCAGUCCAGAUUGAGGGCUGUAACUCGCCCUCAUGACGGUGGAAUCCCUAGUAAUCGGGGGUCACUAUUCCCCCGGUGAAUACGUCCCUGCCCCUUGCACUCACCGCCCGUCAAACACAA
rnacentral:rRNA from 1 species